GAAGUACACAUUCCUAGGUGUUUUGCAGAGAAGCGGCCUCCACCCUCCACCACCUGCCAGGGGCUCUCAGAAGUGAAGUGAACGUGAAAGGAAGCAGUGACGCCCC
rnacentral:lncRNA from 1 species